GAAAGGGGACGUGGCCAACACCUUGACUGACCCUUGAUCGAGCCAAUCAGAACAGCUGUUAGAAAGACGAGAUAUGAGAGCCGUGAUGCGUUUGGACGAAUCUAUUGUGAUCCAUUAAGAGCUUCCAUGUUGACGGUGGCUCCUCAUUGGAUGACCCAUGGCCAGUGCCUCUUUACACACAAAGCAUCAGGAGCUAUAAGGAUACAGCUGAACAUAGAGUACCACCUUCUAUAUGAACCAAACCAAACAAUUUCUUUUAGUCCUAUUUGGUAUUACCAGCAAUCAUGGGCUUUCUCUGCCAAAUGUCCUUGGAUUCAGUCAACAUGAUGUCCAGUGAAGCAUGGUCAGGAGGGUUCACCAGCCUGAAGGGUAAGCUGCACUGGGGGAAACUCCAAGAGUGUUCGCUGUGAACUGAGAGCUACCAGACUUUGUGAAAAAGGAUCUAAGGCAGGCGUAGGGCACUCACCCCAGCACAGCUGUGAGGAUCAGCUCAGAACGGGAAGAUUUUAGUGCGAGGGAACCCUCAGGAAUAAUGUAUAUAUCAUCUAUAAUCACUCAGAAUGUUUUUAAUUCUCACCCUUAAAUAUGUGGUUACAUUUAUAGAUGAUGUAAGUGUAGUAUUUAAACAGGAACAUUCACAGCUAAGUCCCAGACUAAAAUGCAUGUUUGAGCUGUUUUAACGGAAAGCAACUGAAAGCGUGUUAUUGUUUUUCCCCCCGCAUGUUUAUAAAAGCUACUUGUCCUAAUUGAACAAAGGCCUAAUCCAGGUUAAACUAAGCCCUGAAACCAGGCCUUAAAGUUUGGGAAAUGAAACUAGAUGUAUAGAAUGUGAUAUUUGCAAUUACUUGUACAAAAUCCACUCUAAGAAUAACAAAAAUGUCAUUAUACAAUAUCAAUAUAAUUUAUAUAUAUAUAUAUUUGUAUUGGAUCUGUUCUGGAUCUGAUUCUUUAUUUAACCACAAUUUAAUUUGACACUCUACAGUUUUUCUUAUUUACACACCACUGUAUAAAAAAUGAAGUUUUUUUCAAAGAUUAUUGGAGUUUUACUUAAAAAAAUACUAGUUAUUGUACUUCAAAAUUUCACAUUUAAUUCAAUCCGAGUGAAAAAAAAAAUCCCAGUGAAACAUAUACCGUACAUACUGUAUACUGUUAUCAUAUUCCCAUCUUCAAAGUGUCCAUGAUACUGUACUUUGUGAUACAAAUAUAAUGUAUUUGUUUUCGAUAUGUAAAAAAA